ACGGGAGGCAGCAGUGGGGAAUAUUGGGCAAUGGGGGAAACCCUGACCCAGCAACGCCGCGUGAGGGAAGAAGGCUUUCGGGUUGUAAACCUCUUUUACCAGGGACGAAGAACGUGACGGUACCUGGAGAAAAAGCAACGGCUAACUACGUGCCAGCAGCCGCGGUAAUACGUAGGUUGCAAGCGUUAAUCGGAAUUACUGGGCGUAAAGCGCAUGUAGGCUGUACGGUAAGUCAGUGGUGAAAUCCCUGGGCUCAACCUGGGAACUGCCAUUGAAACUGCCGAACUGGAGUGUGAGAGAGGAUAGCGGAAUUCCAGGUGUAGGAGUGAAAUCCGUAGAUAUCUGGAAGAACAUCAGUGGCGAAGGCGGCUAUCUGGCUCAUUACUGACGCUGAGAUGCGAAAGCGUGGGUAGCAAACAGGAUUAGAUACCCUGGUA
rnacentral:rRNA from 1 species